rnacentral:rRNA from 1 species
GAGUUUGAUCUUGGCUCAGGAUGAACGCUGGCGGCGUGCCUAAUACAUGCAAGUCGAGCGAACGGACGAGAAGCUUGCUUCUCUGAUGUUAGCGGCGGACGGGUGAGUAACACGUGGAUAACCUACCUAUAAGACUGGGAUAACUUCGGGAAACCGGAGCUAAUACCGGAUAAUAUUUUGAACCGCAUGGUUCAAAAGUAAAAGACGGUCUUGCUGUCACUUAUAGAUGGAUCCGCGCUGCAUUAGCUAGUUGGUAAGGUAACGGCUUACCAAGGCAACGAUGCAUAGCCGACCUGAGAGGGUGAUCGGCCACACUGGAACUGAGACACGGUCCAGACUCCUACGGGAGCAGCAGUAGGGAAUCUUCCGCAAUGGGCGAAAGCCUGACGGAGCAACGCCGCGUGAGUGAUGAAGGUCUUCGGAUCGUAAAACUCUGUUAUUAGGGAAGAACAUAUGUGUAAGUAACUGUGCACAUCUUGACGGUACCUAAUCAGAAAGCCACGGCUAAC